rnacentral:lncRNA from 1 species
CAGCAAGGAGUCAUCAUGCAGGUAGCCUGGGGCAUGGUCCUAGGGCUCAGGACCUCUGGAAGGAAAGAUGAGAGAAGGGGAGAAUUAGUGUGUGUGUGUGUGUUUGGUAUAAACCCAUCUAAGGUGUGUGUGUGUGUGUUGUUAGGUAUAAACCCAUCUAAGGGUUGUGUGUGUGUGUUUAGGUAUAAACCCAUCUAAGUGUGUGUGUGUGUGUGUAGGUAUAAACCCGUCUAAGGUGUGUGGUGUGUUUAGGUAUAACCCGUCUAGGUGUGUGUGUUUAGGUAUUAACCCAUCUAAGGUGUGUGUGUGUGUGUAGGUAUAAACCCGUCUAAGGGUGUGUAUGUGGUGUAGGUUAUAAACCCGUCUCUGUGGGACAGGAGGACGUGGUCCACUGGCUGCACUGGGCUCAGGGGAAUAUUCUCUCCUCAGAACUGAGAGAGGACGGUUUGAGAUGAACGGCAGAGCUCUCUGCCUCCUCACCAAGGAAGACUUCAGACGCCGCUGUCCUGACUCAGGUAUGCCACUGGGGGGGGGGGGGUGGGGGGGGGGGGGGGCUCCUCUCCUGUAUGAGCUCCUCUCUCUGUUUCUAGUUGAUGUACUGUAUGAGCUCCUCUCUCUGUUUCCAGGUGAUGUACUGUAUGAGCUCCUCUCUCUGUUUCUAGGUGAUGUACUGUAUGAGCUCCUCUCUCUCUGUUUCUAGGUGAUGUACUGUAUGAGUUCCUCUCUCUGUUUUACGUGAUUUUUGUACUGUAUGAGUCCUCUCUCUGUUUCUAGGUGAUGUA